UUACGGUGGCCGUCAGGGGUCACUGCCUUGCAAUGAAAGAAAACACAUGCAAAUAGAAAAAACACCAGCAAAUCAAGAAAACAUCUUCAUCAGUUUGACAACACAUGCGCUGCAGAUAUCGCAACACAUCCAAAUACAGAAACGCGUUGCAAAUAUCACAACACGGAAAAAAAACAGAAACACGUUCCAAAUCUCACAACACAUCCAAAUACAGAAACGCGUUGCAAAUUCUUACAACACGACCAAAAACAGAAACGCGUUCCAAAUCUCACAACACAACGGAAGUGUUUCAGGGGGGUCACAAAAAGUGAUGCACCGGUCUGAGAAGUGUUUUCGGUUUACAUUCAAUUCGUCCGUGGAGCUUUUGUGAGUUACAUCGAUGUAAAUGAAAGCUAGAGGACCUGUUUUAACAUUGAGGGAAUCCUGACCAGAUGCAUAGUGUGAUAUGGUAGCAUGAUUUAAAUGAACUGCAAGAGCCUGUAGAGAGGGAUAAAGUCUACUGAGAGGAACACAGUACAGAAAGGAGCCGGUUCCAUUGUUAAAAUGCCCACUUAUACCAAAUUGUUUCCACCUACAUCCUCUGGCAAUACAUACAGAAGUGUAAGCUACAGGACGUAAAGAUUGAGGAACCGUUUUAUCCAGCAGCCCUCAGUGUUCAAUAGUGAUAUAUCGGGCCGACAUUUGCGAGUUUUAUGUGUAUCGGCAUCGGCCGAUACAUGGCUGCCGUGUUUGCCGAUUUUUCCGGCAUAAUUUACAGACAGAGUGCUGGAACCCGCAAGCGAUUGCAGGUCAUGUGACUAAAAACAACCAACCUUUUCACGACAACAUUGAAAGCUCGGCUUAACAGCUGAUCAUAGCUGAACAAAGUGGGUUUUUUUUCAUCUCUAUGGGGCGGUUUCCUGGACAGGGAUUAGACUAGUCCUAGACUACAAUAAAUGUAAGAACUGUGCAAACUAAUAACAUCUCUUUUUAACAACAUGCCAUUUUUUACAUAAUUUUUAUGAUGUAAAUUGAGUGAGCAAAACCAGUAUCGGCUC